UAGGGAAUCUUCGGCAAUGGGGGGAACCCUGACCGAGCAACGCCGCGUGAGUGAAGAAGGUUUUCGGAUCGUAAAGCUCUGUUGUUAAGGAAGAACGAGUGUGAGAAUGGAAAGUUCAUACUGUGACGGUACUUAACCAGAAAGGGACGGCUAACUACGUGCCAGCAGCCGCGGUAAUACGUAGGUCCCGAGCGUUGUCCGGAUUUAUUGGGCGUAAAGCGAGCGCAGGCGGUUAGAUAAGUCUGAAGUUAAAGGCAGUGGCUCAACCAUUGUAGGCUUUGGAGACUGUUUAACUUGAGUGCAGAAGGGGAGAGUGGAAUUCCAUGUGUAGCGGUGAAAUGCGUAGAUAUAUGGAGGAACACCGGUGGCGAAAGCGGCUCUCUGGUCUGUAACUGACGCUGAGGCUCGAAAGCGUGGGGAGCGAACAGG
rnacentral:rRNA from 1 species